AAUUAUUGGGCGUAAAGCGGAUGUAGGUGGCUUUGUAAGUCAGAUGUGAAAGCCCAGGGCUCAACCCUGGAAGUGCAUUUGAUACUGCGAAGCUUGAGUGUCGGAGAGGUUACUAGAAUUGUUGGUGUAGUGGUGAAAUACGUAGAUAUCAACAGGAAUACCGGAGGCGAAGGCGGGUAACUGGCCGAACACUGACACUGAGAUCCGAAAGCGUGGGGAUCAAACAGGAUUAGAUACCCUGGUAGUCCACGCCGUAAACGAUGGAUACUUGUUGUUGGAGGUAUUGACCCCUUCAGUGACGAAGCUAACGCGUUAAGUAUCCCGCCUGGGGAGUACGGUCGCAAGAUUAAAACUCAAAGAAAUUGACGGGGGCCCGCACAAGCGGUGGAGCAUGUGGUUUAAUUCGAUGCAACGCGAAGAACC
rnacentral:rRNA from 1 species